AGCCUAACACAUGCAAGUCGAACGGUAACAGGAAGCAGCUUGCUGCUUUGCUGACGAGUGGCGGACGGGUGAGUAAUGUCUGGGAAACUGCCUGAUGGAGUGGGGAUAACUACUGGAAACGGUAGCUAAUACCGCAUAACGUACGCAAGACCAAAGAGGGGGACCUUCGGGCCUACUUGCCAUCGGAUGUGCCCAGAUGGGAUUAGCUAGUAGGUAGGGGUAACGGCUCACCUAGGCGACGAUCCCUAGCUAGGUCUGAGAGGAUAGACCAGCCACACUGGAACUGAGACACGGUCCAGACUACCUACGGGAGUGCAGCAGUGGGGAAUAUUGCACAAUGGGCGCAAGCCUGAUGCAGCCAUGCCGCGUAGUAUGAAGA
rnacentral:rRNA from 1 species